UACGUAGGGGGCUAGCGUUGUCCGGAUUUAUUGGGCGUAAAGAGCGUGUAGGCGGCCAGGUAGGUCCGUUGUGAAAACUCGAGGCUCAACCUCGAGACGUCGGCGGAAACCAUCUGGCUAGAGUCCGGAAGAGGAGAGUGGAAUUCCUGGCGUAGCGGUGAAAUGCGCAGAUAUCAGGAAGAACACCCGUGGCGAAGGCGGCUCUCUGGGACGGUACUGACGCUGAGACGCGAAAGCGUGGGGAGCGAACAGG
rnacentral:rRNA from 1 species